CUUGCCUCAAAUAAGAGGUCCAGCCUGCCCAGUGACACUGUUCAACGGCCGCGGUAUCCUAACCGUGCGAAGGUAGCGUAAUCACUUGUUCUUUAAAUGAGGACUAGUAUGAAAGGCAUCACGAGAGUCAUACUGUCUCCUUUUUCCAAUCAGUUAAACUAAUCUCCCCGUGAAGAAGCGGGGAUAAUUCUAUAAGACGAGAAGACCCUAUGGAGCUUUAAACAAAUAACACUUGCCUACCCCCUCCUUUAAUUUCAGAAAAAUCUCCCACUUUGGCAUGAUACUUAUAAGUUUUUGAUUGGGGUGAUCACGGAACAAAAAACAACCUCCGCAAUGAAAGACACUCCCCUAACUAAGUUAAGAACUACAGCUCUAUACAUCAACAAAUUGACACUAAUUGACCCAAUAUAUUGAUCAAUGAAC
rnacentral:rRNA from 1 species